CAGCGCGGCAAGCUCGGAGCUUCGUGGCCGUCGAGUGCUUGUACUCCCUCAGGACGGAAGUCUCUAGACCUCACACUUGGAUGGCAGGCAGGGACUGGGGUGGAGACUGCUGGCUGUCCAUCUAGACACUCAUUCUCCAGCAUGUGGAUGACGCUAACGAGUCAAUGAAGUCCAGGAACGUGGGAUGAUCACACCACCCUUGGCUGUCCCCACAUCUCAAACUGGAAGGCCCUCAAAGAAGCCAGCUCCCUAGCUCAGAUAGAUGCCCACCCUCUGGCCACCCCCAUUCUGUGAAGUGCUGCUCAAUCUCCCUGUGCUGACCUGAUCCAAAUACUCUCCUCCACCAUCCGCUCUUCUGUUGCCAAGACGCAGCUGUCAGACUUUACCUCAGCCUCUACAGGGCAGUACUGUGCAAUGGUUAGAACACGAGCUCUGAACUCAGACUGCCUGAGUUUGAAUCUCUACUCUGCUACUUACUGUGCCUUUGGGUUCCUCGACUGUGACAUGGGCCUGAUAACUGCCUUCUUCAUAAAGUUGUUAAACUGAGUAAA